AGAGUUUGAUCAUGGCUCAGAAUCAACGCUGGCGGCGCGCUUAACACAUGCAAGUCGAACGAGAAAGCCCGCAAGGGUGAGUAAAGUGGCGUACGGGUGAGUAACACGUGGGUAAUCUACCUUUUGGUGGGGAAUAACGCUGGGAAACCGGCGCUAAUACCGCAUAAGCUCGGAAGAGGAAAAGAGAAAUCUGCCGAAAGAGGAGUCCGCGGCUGAUUAGCUAGUUGGUGAGGUAAAGGCUCACCAAGGCUAUGAUCGGUAGCCGGCCUGAGAGGGCACACGGCCACACUGGCACUGAAACACGGGCCAGACUCCUACGGGAGGCAGCAGUGGGGAAUCUUGCACAAUGGGGGAAACCCUGAUGCAGCGACGCCGCGUGAGUGAUGAAGCCCUUCGGGGUGUAAAGCUCUUUCGGCAGGGACGAUAAUGACGGUACCUGAAGAAGAAGCUGCGGCUAACUACGUGCCAGCAGCCGCGGUAAUACGUAGGCAGCAAGCGUUGUUCGGAGUUACUGGGCGUAAAGAGUGCGUAGGCGGUUUUCUAAGUUUGGUGUGAAAUCUCCCGGCUUAACUGGGAGGGUGCGCCGAAGACUGGAAGGCUUGAGUAUGGGAGAGGUAAGCGGAAUUCCUGGUGUAGCGGUGAAAUGCGUAGAUAUCAGGAGGAACACCUGCGGUGUAGACGGCUUACUGGACCAUAACUGACGCUGAGGCACGAAAGCGUGGGUAGCAAACAGGAUUAGAUACCCCCGUAGUCC
rnacentral:rRNA from 1 species